rnacentral:piRNA from 1 species
UCUGCUCGCAUCACCCUUUGCAGUCUGUA